GAGUUUGAUCCUGGCUCAGGAUGAACGCUGGCGGCGUGCCUAACACAUGCAAGUCGAGCGAAGCGCUUUACUUCAAUUCUUUCGGGAAGAGGAGUGAAAUGACUGAGCGGCGGACGGGUGAGUAACGCGUGGGUAACCUGCCUCAUACAGGGGGAUAACAGUUAGAAAUGACUGCUAAUACCGCAUAAGCGCACAGGACCGCAUGGUCAAGUGUGAAAAACUCCGGUGGUAUGAGAUGGACCCGCGUCUGAUUAGUUAGUUGGUGGGGUAACGGCCCACCAAGGCGACGAUCAGUAGCCGGCCUGAGAGGGUGAACGGCCACAUUGGGACUGAGACACGGCCCAAACUCCUACGGGAGGCAGCAGUGGGGGAUAUUGCACAAUGGGGGAAACCCUGAUGCAGCGACGCCGCGUGAGCGAUGAAGUAUUUCGGUAUGUAAAGCUCUAUCAGCAGGGAAGAAAAUGACGGUACCUGACUAAGAAGCCCCGGCUAACUACGUGCCAGCAGCCGCGGUAAUACGUAGGGGGCAAGCGUUAUCCGGAUUUACUGGGUGUAAAGGGAGCGUAGACGGCAGUGCAAGUCUGAAGUGAAAGGCAUGGGCUCAACCUGUGGACUGCUUUGGAAACUGUGCUGCUUGAGUGUC
rnacentral:rRNA from 1 species